UCGUGUGUGGCUGCUUGCGCAGCUGCUCCGUGCCAGGCUUGGAGGACCAGGAGAAGGGGUAGUCACUUGCCACAGCUGGAGGCUGGAGCGUGUGGCACCACGGCUCGCCUCGCUGUGGUGGGUGCUGGCGACAGAGACGGCAGCUCGGCUGGACUGAUUUGCUGAGAUUUGUUUUGUGGCCUAACAUCUGAUCUACCCUGAAGACACUUCCAUGUGCUGAUGGGGAGAAUGCAUACUCUUCAACUGUUGAGUGGGAUGUUCUGUGAAUAUCUGGUAAAAAAACUGAGGCUUAGAAACAUUGAAAAAAACUUGCUCAACGUUGCAAAACAAGAAAUUUGUGACACUGGAAUUGACAUCUACAAGGGACUGAUGUAACUAAUUGCUGGAUACAUGUCCCUCAAAGACACAGAAACAGAUCUUGUAUUCUAGUGGAUCUCCGGCACCCAGUGAGGGCCUGAAACAGAGUACAUGUCCAACAAAUAAUUAUUGAAGUAAAGAUUGACAUUUCAGGAGCAGAGAUUAAUAUUCAAAAACAAAGAUGAGAAUUUUGGCAGAAAAGUCAAAAUGAGGUUCCAACGUGGCUCAACAUGGCAGUUGCUGAUCCUGACUUUGCUUAAAAUUUGGUACUUUGUUUAUCACAAAUUUUAAAAUUAAUUUUGAUUUCUCAAAAUAUUGAUUAAAAUGUUUAUCUCUA
rnacentral:lncRNA from 1 species